rnacentral:rRNA from 1 species
AUAAGUCUCAAAGCCCCGACGAGUAGGGUGGCGUGCCGGUGCGCGUUGAAGGCCAAGACGUGAGUCAGGCUGGAGCCGCCGGUAGUGCANAUCUUGGUGGUAGUAGCAAGUACUCUGGUGAACCAACCUGGAGCUGUGAGGUCUGGAUUAGGGUUCCAUGUCANCAGUGAUUGAACAUGGGUGAGUCGAUCCUAAGCCAGCUGUGAAUGCAGUGACAUCCCGACAACGGGGACGCAGUUACGUGUGCUGUCACUUACACCCCCAAACAAAACCUCUCGUGUCUCUCUCUCGAAAAGGGUCUGGUACGGCGCACACACGAUGAUCGCUAGUGUGAGUGUGUGCGCGCAUGGUUACGCUCAUAAGCGUUGUUAAGAGAGAGAGAGAAAGAGAGUGGGUGAGCGUGAGUUGAUGAUUGCAUGAGUCCCCUGCGUCUGGUUCUAUGUCCGGCGAAAGGGAAUGGGGACUUUGUUCCUUGACCGGUCCCGGCACCCUCGAUUGGCUUUGCCAAUCAAUGGUCCAUGCAAAUGGAACCAGGCCACAGCCGUCGGCAGUCGCCCGAGGAAGAGUUUUCUUUUCUGCUUAACGCACGAGGUCAUCCCUGGAAACAGUUCGGCUGGCGAAAGGGUGCCCCGUUGCGGCAGAGCGCCACGACUGUCGUGCGCGUCUCGGUGUACCUGCUGAUCCGUGAAAACGUGGUCGAGGGGAGUGCUCUUGUAUCAACGAAACGUCCGACAAGUUCGGGACGGACCGUACCCUAUAUCCGCAUCUGGUCUCCAAGGUUCGUAGCCUCUGCAGAGUCAGACACAUGUAGGUAAGGGAAGUCGGCAAACUCGAUCCGUAACUUCGGGAAAAGGAUUGGCUCUGAGGGCCGAGCUGGGCCGGGCCUUGCCUGCAAAGCAGUACCUAUAGUGACCGGAGUUUCAGGAGUGCGAGGGGCUCUAGUAGCUGCUUGUGCGUGUGUGUGCGCGUGCGCGCGCGUGUGGGCACGAACGAGUCCACCGCUCCGCUCCAACCACGAACGGCUGUGACGGCAAGGGCUCUGGGCGGGAGCGAUCUAACCGUUUGCCUCCAGCUCGUCUGGGUGGCGGCGGUGCUCCGUCUGACCCAUACGGCUCCAGCGGCUAGCGGCUAACUCAGAACUGUCAUGGACCAAGGGAAUCCGACUGU